GCAGUCGACGGUAACAGGAAUCAGCUUGCUGAUUUGCUGACGAGUGGCGGACGGGUGAGUAAUGUCUGGGAAACUGCCUGAUGGAGGGGGAUAACUACUGGAAACGGUAGCUAAUACCGCAUAACGUCGCAAGACCAAAGAGGGGGACCUUCGGGCCUCUUGCCAUCGGAUGUGCCCAGAUGGGAUUAGCUAGUAGGUGGGGUAACGGCUCACCUAGGCGACGAUCCCUAGCUGGUCUGAGAGGAUGACCAGCCACACUGGAACUGAGACACGGUCCAGACUCCUACGGGAGGCAGCAGUGGGGAAUAUUGCACAAUGGGCGCAAGCCUGAUGCAGCCAUGCCGCGUGUAUGAAGAAGGCCUUCGGGUUGUAAAGANUUUUCAGCGGGGAGGAAGGGAGUAAAGUUAAUACCUUUGCUCAUUGACGUUACCCGCAGAAGAAGCACCGGCUAACUCCGUGCCAGCAGCCGCGGUAAUACGGAGGGUGCAAGCGUUAAUCGGAAUUACUGGGCGUAAAGCGCACGCAGGCGGUUUGUUAAGUCAGAUGUGAAAUCCCCGGGCUCAACCUGGGAACUGCAUCUGAUACUGGCAAGCUUGAGUCUCGUAGAGGGGGGUAGAAUUCCAGGUGUAGCGGUGAAAUGCGUAGAGAUCUGGAGGAAUACCGGUGGCGAAGGCGGCCCCCUGGACGAAGACUGACGCUC
rnacentral:rRNA from 1 species